UACCCAUAGAUAAGUCUUAUCACCCUUGUGUCUUCAGCACAAAAUUCUACUAUUUUAAAUUAUAAGAGU
rnacentral:tRNA from 1 species